rnacentral:rRNA from 1 species
GUCAAAUGACUUAAAGCUUAUGGUGGAUACCUAGGCACUCAGUGUUGAUGAAGGGCGCGGAAACCGGCGAAACGCUUUGGGGAGUUGGAAACACGCUUUGAUCCAAAGAUACCCGAAUGGGGCAACCCUUUAAACUACCGACUGAAUUCAUAGGUCGGCAAGAAGUAACCCGCUGAACUGAAACAUCUUAGUAAGCGGAGGAAAAGAAAGCAAACGCGAUUCCCUGAGUAGCGGCGAGCGAAAUGGGAACAGCCUAAACCGGUUUUUUAAACCGGGGUAGUGGGAAGAUUAAAUAAUAUUUAAUAUAAUAAAAAAUUAAAAAAAUAUAUGAAGCAGCUGAAUCCUGCACCAGAGACGGUGAAAGUCCGGUAGUAAUUUUUUCUAAUCGGGGGUGUACCGGAUAUAUCCUUAAGGUAUACAUACGUAUACCGCAUUAACCGUACAGUCCUUCUUUUUUUUAAAUAUAAAAUCUUAUCCCGAGUAGCAUGGUACACGUGGAAUCCCGUGUGAAUCAGCGAGGACCACCUCGUAAGGCUAAAUAUAACUGAGUGACCGAUAGUGCAAUAGUACCGUGAGGGAAAGGUGAAAUAGAACCCUGGAUAGGGAGUGAAAUAGAACAUGAAACCAUGAGCUGACAAUCUGUGGGAGGGCUUAAAGCCUGACCGCGUUCCUGUUGAAGAAUGAGCCGGCGACUUAUGGGGAAUGGCAGUAGGUUAAGGAGUUUUAUCCGGAGCCAAAGCGAAAGCGAGUCUGAAUAGGGCUUUUAGUCAUUUUUCAUAGACCCGAACCUGAGUGAUCUAACCAUGACCAGGAUGAAGCUUGGGUAAAACCAAGUGGAAGACCGAACCGACCGAUGUUGAAAAAUCGGCGGAUGAGUUGUGGUUGGGGGUGAAAUGCUAAUCGAACUCAGAGCUAGCUGGUUCUCCUCGAAAUGCGUUGAGGCGCAGCGGUUGAUGAUGAGCUAUUUAGGGGUAAAGCACUGUUUCAAUGCGGGCUAAGAAAUUGGUACCAAAUCGUUGCAAACUAAGAAUACUAGAUAUGAUUUCCAUCAACCAGUGAGACUAAGGGGGAUAAGCUUCUUAGUCAAGAGGGAAACAGCCCAGAUCACCAGCUAAGGCCCCAAAAUGGUAGCUAAGUGGCAAAGGAAGUGAGUAACGCAGAGACAACCAGAAGGUUUGCUUAGAAGCAGCCAUCCUUAAAAGAGUGCGUAAUAGCCCACUGGUAGAGCGUUCUCGCGCCGAAAAUGAACGGGACUAAGCUACCUGCCGAAGCUGUGGGAUUGGAAUCUUAAUUCAUACAAUUGAAUUUUGAAUUGAAUCGGUAGAGGAGCGUUCCGCUCUAGGGUGAAGCUAUCAAGUAAUUGAUUGUGGACGAAGCGGAAGUGAGAAUGUCGGCUUGAGUAACGCAAACAUUGGUGAGAAUCCAAUGCCCCGAAAACCUAAGGGUUCCUCCACAAGGCUCGUCCGUGGAGGGUGAGUCAGGACCUAAGAUGAGGCCGAAAGGCGUAGUCGAUGGCAAACAGAUUAAUAUUUCUGUACUUUUUUGGAUUUAGCACCGAGGGACGAAGGAGGCUAUACUGUCUGGAAUUUGGAUUUCAGUGGAAGCAUUCAAGGCGUUGAGUGGAUGAACAAAAACAUUCCAUAAGCUGAGAUGUUAUCCGGUUUAAUAGUUAUGACUUCGGUUAAAACUUUAGACUCAGAGGAUGUCAUACUUCCAAGAAAAGCUCGUACUGCUUAUAAAUUCAAAUUACCUGUACCCUAAACCGACACAGGUGGGUUGGUAGAGUAUACCAAGGGGCGCGAGAUAACUCUCUCUAAGGAAUUCGGCAAAAUGGCCCCGUAACUUCGGGAGAAGGGGUGCCCUCUUCGGAGGGUUGCAGUGACCAGACCCAGGCGACUGUUUAUCAAAAACACAGGUCUCCGCAAAAUCGCAAGAUGAUAUAUGGGGGCUGACGCCUGCCCAGUGCCAGAAGGUGAAUCGAGCUGGUUAAAAGUUUACUUUGAAGCUAGCGACCCAAGCCCUGGUGAACGGCGGCCGUAACUCUGACGGUCCUAAGGUAGCAAAAUUCUUUGUCGAGUAAGUUUCGACCCGCAUGAAAGGCGUAACGAUCUGGGUACUGUCUCGGAGAGAGGCUCGGUGAAAUAGACAUGUCUGUGAAGAUGCGGACUACUUGCACCCGGACAGAAAGACCCUAUGAAGCUUGACUGUAGCUUGAGAUUGGAUUCGGGCUUUUCUUGCGCAGCCUAAGUGGGAGGCUUUGAUAUACUACUUCCGGGUAGUAUUGAGCCAUCAGUGAGAGACCACUCUAGGAAGGCAGGAAUCCUAAUGGCGAUCCGUGAACCGGACGCUUGACAGUUUCAGGUGGGCAGUUUAUCUGGGGCGGAUGGCUCAUAAAAGGUAACUGAGCUGUGCAAAGGUUCCUUCAAACUGGACGGAAAUCAGUUGUAGAGCGUAAAGGCAGAAGGGAGCUUGACUGCAAGACCUACAAGUCGAGCAGGGGCGAAAGCCGGCCUUAGUGAUCCGGCGGUACCGUGUGGAAGGGCCGCCGCUUAUCGAACAAAAGUUACUCUAGGGAUAACAGGCUGAUCUUCCCCAAGAGUCCGUAUCUACGGGAAGGUUUGGCACCUCGAUGUCGGCUCGUCUCAACCUGGGGCGGUAGUUCGUCCCAAGGGUUAGGCUGUUCGCCUAUUAAAGAGGCACGUGGCUGGGUUCAGAACGUCGUGAGACAGUUCGGUCCAUAUCCGGUGAAAGCGUUUGAACAUUGAGAGGACCUCGACAUAGUACGAGAGGACCCGGAGGGGCAUGCCUAUUGUGUACCGGUUCUUGCGCCAGCAGGAAACGCCGGGUAGCUACGCAUGAUUAAGAUAAUCGCUGAAAGCAUCUAAGUGAGAAGCAAACCUCAAGAUGAGUGUUCACCAUAGGUUCCUUGUAGAAAACGAGGUAAUAGGUAUCAGGUGUAAGACCAGUAAUGGUUUCAGCCGAGAUAUACUAAUAAACCGAUUGAUUUUGAC